AUAUUGCUGUGUUUUCGAGUGUAUUGCAUGCCUCUCCAUCUGGUGCACAGCAAUAACGCACAGCUUUUUGCUGAAGAUGUGCCUAUUCCUGCAUUGACCAC